AUUGAACGCUGGCGGCAUGCCUUACACAUGCAAGUCGAACGGUAACAGGUUAUCGGCUGCUGACGAGUGGCGACCGGGUGCGUACUACAUCGGAACGCGCCCAGACGUGGGGGUUAAUGAGGCGUAAGCUAUGCUAAUAUCCCAUACGACCUCAGGCUGAAUGCAGGGGACAGCAGGGCCUCGUGCGACUGUGGCGGCUGAUGUCAGAUUAGGUAGUUGGUGGGAUAAAAGCUUACCAAGCCGACGAUCUGUAGCUGGUCUGAGAGGAUGACCAGCCACACUGGGACUGAGACACGGCCCAGACUCCUACGGGAGGCAGCAGUGGGGAAUUUUGGACAAUGGGCGAAAGCCUGAUCCAGCAAUACCGCGUGCAUGAUGAAGGCCUUCGGGUUGUAAACUGCUUUUGUACGGAACGAAAAGGCGCUGGCUAAUACCUGGGGGACAUGACGGUACCGAAAGAAUAAGCACCGGCUAACUUCGUG
rnacentral:rRNA from 1 species